rnacentral:rRNA from 1 species
GGCGGACGGGUGAGUAACGCGUGGGUAACCUGCCUCAUACAGGGGGAUAACAGUUGGAAACGGCUGCUAAUACCGCAUAAGCGCACAGUACCGCAUGGUACGGUGUGAAAAACUCCGGUGGUAUGAGAUGGACCCGCGUCUGAUUAGGUAGUUGGUGGGGUAACGGCCUACCAGGCCGACGAUCAGUAGCCGACCUGAGAGGGUGACCGGCCACAUUGGGACUGAGACACGGCCCAA